rnacentral:rRNA from 1 species
UUUGGUUAAGUUAGAAAGGGCGCACGGUGGAUGCCUUGACACUAGGAGUCGAUGAAGGACGGGACUAACGCCGAUAUGCUUCGGGGAGCUGUAAGUAAGCUUUGAUCCGAAGAUUUCCGAAUGGGGAAACCCACUAUACGUAAUGGUAUGGUAUCCUUACCUGAAUACAUAGGGUAUGGAAGACAGACCCAGGGAACUGAAACAUCUAAGUACCUGGAGGAAGAGAAAGCAAAUGCGAUUUCCUGAGUAGCGGCGAGCGAAACGGAAUCUAGCCCAAACCAAGAGGCUUGCCUCUUGGGGUUGUAGGACAUUCUAUACGGAGUUACAAAGGAACGAGGUAGACGAAGCGACCUGGAAAGGUCCGUCACAGAGGGUAACAACCCCGUAGUCGAAACUUCGUUCUCUCUUGAAUGUAUCCUGAGUACGGCGGAACACGUGAAAUUCCGUCGGAAUCUGGGAGGACCAUCUCCCAAGGCUAAAUACUCCCUAGUGAUCGAUAGUGAACCAGUACCGUGAGGGAAAGGUGAAAAGCACCCCGGAAGGGGAGUGAAAGAGAUCCUGAAACCGUGUGCCUACAAAUAGUCAGAGCCCGUUAAUGGGUGAUGGCGUGCCUUUUGUAGAAUGAACCGGCGAGUUACGAUCCCGUGCAAGGUUAAGCUGAAGAGGCGGAGCCGCAGCGAAAGCGAGUCUGAAUAGGGCGUUUAGUACGUGGUCGUAGACCCGAAACCAGGUGAUCUACCCAUGUCCAGGGUGAAGUUCAGGUAACACUGAAUGGAGGCCCGAACCCACGCACGUUGAAAAGUGCGGGGAUGAGGUGUGGGUAGCGGAGAAAUUCCAAUCGAACCUGGAGAUAGCUGGUUCUCCCCGAAAUAGCUUUAGGGCUAGCCUUAAGUGUAAGAGUCUUGGAGGUAGAGCACUGAUUGAACUAGGGUCCUCAUCGGAUUACCGAAUUCAGUCAAACUCCGAAUGCCAAUGACUUAUCCUUAGAGUCAGACUGCGAGUGAUAAAGAUCCGUAGUCAAGAGGGAAACAGCCCAGAUCGCCAGCUAAGGUCCCAAAGUGUGUAUUAAGUGGAAAAGGAUGUGGAGUUGCUUAGACAACUAGGAUGUUGGCUCAGAAGCAGCCACCAUUUAAAGAGUGCGUAAUAGCUCACUAGUCGAGUGACUCUGCGCCGAAAAUGUACCGGGGCUAAAUACACCACCGAAGCUGCGAAUUGAUACCAAUGGUAUCAGUGGUAGGUUGCUCUAAGUGCAGCAGUUUGCACCGGCGACUGGUGGAGUGCUUAGAAGCGGAGAAUGCUGGUAUGAUGAGUAGCAGACGGGUGAGAAUCCCGUCCACCGAAUGCCUAAGGUUUCCUGAGGAAGGCUCGUCCGCUCAGGGUUAGUCAGGACCUAAGCCGAGGCCGACAGGCGUAGGCGAUGGACAACAGGUUGAUAUUCCUGUACCACCUCUUUAUCGUUUGAGCAAUGGAGGGGACGCAGAAGGAUAGAAGAAGCGUGCGAUUGGUUGUGCACGUCCAAGCAGUUAGGCUGAUAAGUAGGCAAAUCCGCUUAUCGUGAAGGCUGAGCUGUGAUGGGGAAGCUCCUUAUGGAGCGAAGUCUUUGAUUCCCCGCUGCCAAGAAAAGCUUCUAGCGAGAUAAAAGGUGCCUGUACCGCAAACCGACACAGGUAGGCGAGGAGAGAAUCCUAAGGUGUGCGAGAGAACUCUGGUUAAGGAACUCGGCAAAAUGACCCCGUAACUUCGGGAGAAGGGGUGCUUUCUUAACGGAAAGCCGCAGUGAAUAGGCCCAAGCGACUGUUUAGCAAAAAAACACAGGUCUCUGCGAAGCCGUAAGGCGAAGUAUAGGGCUGACACCUGCCCGGUGCUGGAAGGUUAAGGAGAGGGGUUAGCGUAAGCGAAGCUCUGAACUGAAGCCCCAGUAAACGGCGGCCGUAACUAUAACGGUCCUAAGGUAGCGAAAUUCCUUGUCGGGUAAGUUCCGACCCGCACGAAAGGUGUAACGAUUUGGGCACUGUCUCAACCAGAGACUCGGUGAAAUUAUAGUACCUGUGAAGAUGCAGGUUACCCGCGACAGGACGGAAAGACCCCGUGGAGCUUUACUGUAGCCUGAUAUUGAAUUUUGGUACAGUUUGUACAGGAUAGGCGGGAGCCAUUGAAACCGGAGCGCUAGCUUCGGUGGAGGCGCUGGUGGGAUACCGCCCUGACUGUAUUGAAAUUCUAACCUACGGGUCUUAUCGACCCGGGAGACAGUGUCAGGUGGGCAGUUUGACUGGGGCGGUCGCCUCCUAAAGUGUAACGGAGGCGCCCAAAGGUUCCCUCAGAAUGGUUGGAAAUCAUUCGUAGAGUGCAAAGGCAUAAGGGAGCUUGACUGCGAGACCUACAAGUCGAGCAGGGACGAAAGUCGGGCUUAGUGAUCCGGUGGUUCCGCAUGGAAGGGCCAUCGCUCAACGGAUAAAAGCUACCCCGGGGAUAACAGGCUUAUCUCCCCAAGAGUCCACAUCGACGGGGAGGUUUGGCACCUCGAUGUCGGCUCAUCGCAUCCUGGGGCUGUAGUCGGUCCCAAGGGUUGGGCUGUUCGCCCAUUAAAGCGGUACGCGAGCUGGGUUCAGAACGUCGUGAGACAGUUCGGUCCCUAUCCGUCGUGGGCGCAGGAAAUUUGAGAGGAGCUGUCCUUAGUACGAGAGGACCGGGAUGGACGCACCGCUGGUGUACCAGUUGUUCUGCCAAGGGCAUAGCUGGGUAGCUAUGUGCGGAAGGGAUAAGUGCUGAAAGCAUCUAAGCAUGAAGCCCCCCUCAAGAUGAGAUUUCCCAUAGCGUAAGCUAGUAAGAUCCCUGAAAGAUGAUCAGGUUGAUAGGUUCGAGGUGGAAGCAUGGUGACAUGUGGAGCUGACGAAUACUAAUAGAUCGAGGACUUAACCAUAUAA